GAUCAUGGCUCAGAUUGAACGCUGGCGGCAUGCCUUACACAUGCAAGUCGAACGGCAGCGCGGGGCAACCUGGCGGCGAGUGGCGAACGGGUGAGUAAUAUAUCGGAACAUACCCUAGAGUGGGGGAUAACGUAGCGAAAGUUACGCUAAUACCGCAUACGCACUAAGGUGGAAAGUGGGGGAUUCGCAAGAACCUCAUGCUCAUGGAGUGGCCGAUAUCUGAUUAGCUAGUUGGUGAGGUAAAGGCUCACCAAGGCAACGAUCAGUAGCUGGUUUGAGAGAACGACCAGCCACACUGGAACUGAGACACGGUCCAGACUCCUACGGGAGGCAGCAGUGGGGAAUUUUGGACAAUGGGGGCAACCCUGAUCCAGCAAUGCCGCGUGAGUGAAGAAGGCCUUCGGGUUGUAAAGCUCUUUUGUCAGGGAAGAAACGGUGAGAGCUAAUAUCUCUUGCUAAUGACGGUACCUGAAGAAUAAGCACCGGCUAACUACGUG
rnacentral:rRNA from 1 species